rnacentral:rRNA from 1 species
UGCUACCUGGUUGAUCCUGCCAGUAGUCA